UUUCACACCAGCAACUCAUCUCAGCUGGAGAAAACAGCACUUGGGAGUCAAGAGAGGAAGAGUGUUCAGUGAAGAAAUUCAGUGACAAGGGAAGAAUUUCAUUGGUGUUGGAAGGCAAGCACAGAAAAGUAAACACAGCCCACUGGACUAUAACAGAUGAAUGGUCACCACUUAGUAACAACAUUAAAUCCUGCCUUUCAGGAGUCAAAAGGACUGGAAUCUGCUUCUGAGCCCACUAUUUUAGUGACAUCCAUGUUUAUUGCUGAAGUUUUGCCAAAAGAACACCCUACAGUUCUCCAGGCUUCAGAAAAGCCAGUGGAAUUCCUUAACAAUAACUGGACUUGCCUGCAGCCAGCAUAAGCCUCAUUCUUCCUAAGCAGAUGAAUGUUUCACAGAGGGGGGAAUGAAACCAUCGCUAUGAAGCACCUGAGACUCCUCUGUCACCAAGUGUAACUUAUUCCAGGAAGCCCUUGGCUUAGAGGCAGAGAUUGUGGAUCUGAAGCUGAUACCUCUUCAGUCACUGAGAGUGGAUUUGGGGGUUUAUGUGCAGCUUAUACAAUGGAAUACCCUUGACUAUCACCAUAAAUGUUUCUGUUUGUUUAAGUUAGAAAAUGGAUGUGAUGCGCUUCAUGAAAACAUACCGGUGACUGCAGGCAGUUUAAAAUGGUCUUAUGAGUUACAAGAAGCUUCUCAGGCAUGGAACACAUUGUCAGCACAUCAAUUAUCUAGUUUUGCAGGUAGAGGAAACAAAUCCUGUUUUGCAAAAAUAUGGAUAUUGUAAUAUAGGUAUUGAUAUAGUGAAGAAACUGACCUCUGCUAGACACAGGACCUACACCUUCUCUGUGCCUCAGACCUCAGUGUAAUAAUUCUCUGGAAUUUGGAUGGUAUGAAGUAAUUUAUUCAGAAGGUUACAAGUAGUCAAUUUCACUACAUGACAUUAAGGAUUUCUUUUAAUUGUUUUAGCAAUUAUUUUGUUUUGUGGUAAAAGUUCUCUUUCAUUCUAGAGAGAAGCACAAGGUAUGUAUCUGUUUUCAUGAAUUUUUACUUCAGGGUGCAAAAAAGUGUAACCAUAUUGUGUGUUUGUAUUAUACACGUUCCCUGAGGAGUAUUAGUGGUUUAAAAUAAGAGAAAUUGCAUUUAAUUUUCAUAUUUUAAAAAGGAUUUUGUACAUGGGAUCUAAAUGAAGAGACUAGAACUGCAGGAUGGCAAAGACUUAUAGCUCUUGCUUUCAGGAGACUGGUAUAAAUUCUGCUUCAGUAAAUUCUGUAGUCAAGAUGAGGUAACUUGAGAUAGCUUUUUACUUGGUGUCUGAUUGCCCUUUUCUAAAUAACAAAAUCUUUUGUGAUUCUAUAUCUUUCUGCUGUUUCUCCGAGGGCUGUAAUAUCUUGAGAUUUUACAACAUCCUUCAAACACCAAGCAGUUGCACUGCUUUCAUAUUGCAAGAGGCACACUAGGUAAAUAAAGAAGAUUCUUUUUGACAGAUGUAUGUGAAUAUAAAAGCAUACUAGAAA